rnacentral:rRNA from 1 species
UACAGAGGGGGCAAGCGUUGUUCGGAAUUACUGGGCGUAAAGGGCGCGUAGGCGGCCCGCUAAGUCGAACGUGAAAUCCCCGGGCUCAACCCGGGAACUGCGUCCGAUACUGGCAGGCUUGAAUCCGGGAGAGGGAUGCGGAAUUCCAGGUGUAGCGGUGAAAUGCGUAGAUAUCUGGAGGAACACCGGUGGCGAAGGCGGUUCUCUGGGCCUGUACUGACGCUGAGGAGCGAAAGCGUGGGGAGCGAACAGG